rnacentral:rRNA from 1 species
GUGUCAGCAGCCGCGGUAAUACGAAGGGGGCUAGCGUUGCUCGGAAUCACUGGGCGUAAAGGGCGCGUAGGCGGCCCCGAUAGUCAGGCGUGAAAUUCCUGGGCUCAACCUGGGGACUGCGCUUGAUACGUCGGGGCUGGAGUGCGGGAGAGGGUCGCGGAAUUCCCAGUGUAGAGGUGAAAUUCGUAGAUAUUGGGAAGAACACCGGUGGCGAAGGCGGCGACCUGGCCCGUUACUGACGCUGAGGCGCGACAGCGUGGGGAGCAAACAGGAUUAGAUACCCUGGUAGUCC